GGUUAGGGCCUCACAAGCUGAAAAUUCUCCACCUCUCUCACAACGCCAUCACUCAGUUCGACGCCGUCCUCACCCUCCUGCCUCGUCUUGCUUCCCUGUGGCUUAACUUUAACCAGGUGACGCUACGUGGGCGUGAAAUGAGCCCCACGCCCACAACCUGACGGACCUGGCGCUGGAGUAUAACCUGGUGGAGGAGCUGACGGAGGACUCCUGAAGGGCUUCGACUAGAGGG